GGCGCCUGUCUGUGGGUGCAGCCUCUUGUGGUCAGUCAUCUUCACUUGAUGUGCUUUGGUGUAUUUCUUCAUAGUCUUCAACUUGCAGCUUCUCCAUUGACUUUUUCAGUUCACCCUAAGAAGAAGAAAUCAUGGUUGAACUGUGCAAAGAUAUCCAUCCUUCACGGCUUCAUCAUCUUCAGCCUUUCCUAGACCACUACAAAAUCAAAGUUGUGGCAGGCGCGCUGGGCCUCCGCUGUGGCCUUCUGGAGCUUGGUCUCGGCGAUGAUCUGCCCCAAAAGAGUACACUCAUCAUUCACUUUUAUCUCAUUUUUGGCAAGGAAGAUAGGCCAAGGCAAGACAACACUGG